UAGUGAGUUUGAUCCUGGCUCAGGACGAACGCUGGCGGCGUGCCUAAUACAUGCAAGUCGAGCGCAGGAAAUCGACGGAACCCUUCGGGGGGAAGUCGACGGAAUGAGCGGCGGACGGGUGAGUAACACGUAAAGAACCUGCCCUCAGGUCUGGGAUAACCACGAGAAAUCGGGGCUAAUACCGGAUGGGUCAUCGGACCGCAUGGUCCGAGGAUGAAAGGCGCUUCGGCGUCGCCUGGGGGAUGGCUUUGCGGUGCAUUAGCUAGUUGGUGGGGUAAUGGCCCACCAAGGCGACGAUGCAUAGCCGACCUGAGAGGGUGAUCGGGCCAC
rnacentral:rRNA from 1 species